rnacentral:rRNA from 1 species
UACGAAGGGGGCUAGCGUUGCUCGGAAUCACUGGGCGUAAAGCGCACGUAGGCGGGCUCUUAAGUCGGUGGUGAAAUCCUGGAGCUCAACUCCAGAACUGCCUCCGAUACUGAGAGUCUUCGAGUCCGGGAGAGGUGAGUGGAACUGCGAGUGUAGAGGUGAAAUUCGUAGAUAUUCGCAAGUACACCAGUGGCGAAGGCGGCUCACUGGCCAGGUACUGACGCUGAGGUGCGAAAGCGUGUGGAGCAAACAGG